rnacentral:rRNA from 1 species
AACGUAGGUUCCGAGCGUUAUCCGGAUUUACUGGGCGUAAAGCGCGUGCAGGCGGCUAGGCAAGUCGGGCAUGAAAUCUCUCGGCUCAACCGGGAGAGGCUGUCCGAUACUGCUUGGCUUGAGGACGGGAGAGGGUGGUGGAAUUCCGCAUGUAGUGGUGAAAUGCGUAGAUAUGCGGAGGAACACCAGUGGCGAAGGCGGCCACCUGGCCCGCUCCUGACGCUCAGACGCGAAAGCUAGGGGAGCGAACGGG